rnacentral:rRNA from 1 species
AUGCCGGCCGCUUCGUCGUCGGCCACGGCAACGCCGGCAACCAGCCGCGGCGGCAGUCGGGUCUCCGCUUUCACGAUGCGCGCGGUGGCGCGCAUGUCGAGGGCGCGGUGGUUCAUCUUCCUGAGGCGGGUAUACCAGUACCAGAACGGCCCGAGGUCUGACCUGGGCUCCAACCCUUUCAACUCAUCCGGCUGGCUCGCUCUUGAGCUCGGCGUGAUCGUCGCGCAGAUGGUCAUCACCACCACCGUUGUGGCCACCUCCCCAAAGGAACGCCCCGCGUGGCCGCUUCGGCUCUGGGUCUGCGCGUACAACGUCGGCAACGUGCUCAGCCUCCCACUCCUCUACUGGCGCCACCGACAUUCAUCGGCCGCCGGACGAGGCGACGACCCCGAGAUGCACGGUGCCGGUGACGCUCUAAGGAACAGCUCGUAUCUGAUGAACAAGGCUCGGGCGUUCCUGGAGCUCUUCUUCGCGAUGUGGUUUGUGAUGGGCAACGUGUGGGUGUUCGACGCGCGGCUCGGGUCGUUCCACCGCGCCCCGCGGCUGUACGCGCUCUGCAUCGGCCUGCUCGCGUGGAACGCCGUCGUCUACUCGCUCCCCUUCCUCCUCUUCCUCCUGCUCUGCUGCUUCGUCCCGGUCGUCGGGUACGCGCUCGGGUACAACAUGAACUCGGCCUCGGUCGGCCGAGGCGCCUCCGACGAGCAGCUGGACGCGCUGCCGCGGUGGCGGUUCAAGGAGCCCGACGUGCCGAGAGACCGCGAGAAGGACGAUCAAGAGUGCUGCAUAUGCCUGGCGCAGUACAGGGAGAAAGAGGAGGUGAGGCAGCUGCCCUGCACACACAUGUUCCACCUGAAAUGCGUGGACAGGUGGCUGAGGAUCAUCUCCUCUUGCCCUCUCUGCAAGCAAGAGCUCAGCUGA